UACGUAGGGUGCAAGCGUUGUCCGGAAUUAUUGGGCGUAAAGAGCUCGUAGGCGGUUUGUCGCGUCUGCUGUGAAAACUCGGGGCUUAACCCCGGGCCUGCAGUGGAUACGGGCUGGCUAGAGGCAGGCAGGGGAGAACGGAAUUCCUGGUGUAGCGGUGAAAUGCGCAGAUAUCAGGAGGAACACCGGUGGCGAAGGCGGUUCUCUGGGCCUGUACUGACGCUGAGGAGCGAAAGCGUGGGGAGCGAACAGG
rnacentral:rRNA from 1 species